GGCCAUGGCUCAUUUGCAGAGCAUCUGCCUUGCAUGCAGAAGACCCCAGAUCCAAUCCCUGGCAACUCCA